CGGUAAUACGUAGGCGGCAAGCGUUGUCCGGAAUGAUUGGGCGUAAAGGGAGCGCAGGCGGGAAGGCAAGUCUUUCCUGAAAGGGCGGGGCUCAACCCCGCAGGGGGAGAGAAACUGCCCUCCUUGAGUGCAGGAGAGGAAAGCGGAAUUCCUAGUGUAGCGGUGAAAUGCGUAGAUAUUAGGAGGAACACCAGUGGCGGAAGCGGCUUUCUGGACUGCAACUGACGCUGANGCUCGAANCCAGGGGAGCGAACGGGNAUUAGAUACCCCGGUAGUCCUGGCCGUAAACGAUGAAUGCUANGUGUGGGAGGUAUCGACCCCUUCCGUGCCGGAAUUAACGCAUUAANUUUUCCGCCUGGGGAGUACNCCCGCNAGUGUGAAACUCAAAGAANUUGACGGGNACCCNCACAANUACNGAACANGUGGUUUANUNCG
rnacentral:rRNA from 1 species